GGACACUCUGAUCCAAUGGUCACGAACACAUCUCCCUCUGAGUACGGGGGCAUCCAUUUCAGGGCUUUUGGGGGUCCUUGGCAUGGAUAAGCCUCAUGGUUUUUUUCUCUUCUUAGUUCUGCUUUCAAGCCGUAAGAAAGAUGGAAGAACUUAGUUCCCUGUAGCCCACACAGCAGAAAAGAGGGAGGGAAGGGUGCCCAAGCAGGAACUGCAGGGCUGAGCAGUCACAUGACAGGCAAACUGGCUUUCUGGCAAGAAAGCUCUGCCCUGGGAUGCAGAGGCGGCUUUGUGUGCAGAUCGGGGGCACCAGGAGGGCUCCUCGCGGGCAGUCCUGGGGCAUCAGAGGGCACUUGGGGGCUGCUAGGGAGGAAAUGUCAACAUUUGGGACCUGGAUGGUGUGUGUGUGUGUGUGUGUGUGUGUGUGUGUGUGUGAGAGAGAGAGAGAGAGAGAGAGCAAGAGAAAUACCCAUGAGAUCUCCAGGGGUUUGUGAUGGGGUUUUUCAGGGGCAAGUGAGGACUCUUCGGAGAAGCAUUUGUCCUCAGUGAGCCAAGCCCGGGAGGGGACAGGCUGCCGUGAUCCCUGGGACUCCCCUGCUGCCCAACCUGGCCUGCAGCCUCAGUCAAGCACAGCACCUGCCAAGAGCCUAGUCGCCUGUGACUGUCAGACCUGGGAGUGGGGGCUGACGUGGCUCCAGAGGAGAUUCAGGCAGCUGGCUGAAACCUGCUCCUGUGACGCUGCCCUUGCUCCUCCUCCCCUCACAGCCUCCCCUUCCCUGCUGCAGUCUUCUAGCCCCCCAACCGGGCCCAGACGGGGGUGAGGGGGUGGGCUGUCUGGGUAGUCACGUGAUGGGCAGAGGCCAACCGCUGAUGCCAGUGGAGGGGUGGGCGUUCCCCGCCAGCCCCUGGCUUUGGAGGAGGAGGAAUGAAGAAAGCUCGCCUCCCUCGCAGACCAGUUUCUCCUGUUCCCUCCUCCAAACGGCCAGGAUUUCCCAUCCUGUCCCUCCAGUAUUGACCUUCCCGUCUCCUGGGAGGGCUUGGUGCCUCCAGCUGCCCGUCAGCGUUGGUCAUAGCUUUUCUUCCAAGGACCAAGCAUCUUUUAAUUUCAUAUGCUCCACCAAAAAAAAGACGCUAUCGCAACAAGAAGCCCAUGCACUGCAACUAGAGAGUAGCCCCUGCUCGUCACAACUACAGAAAGCCUGUGAGCAGCAAUGGAGAGCCCCUGCCCUGCAACAAAGACCCAGCACAGCCAAAAUUAAAAAUAAAUGAAUAAGAAUGCCAGUUCCAUGAAGGCAGGCAUUUUUGUCUGUUUUGCUUACUGCUGUAUCUCCAGCAUCUACACCAGUGCUUGGCAUACAG
rnacentral:lncRNA from 1 species